AUUUUUACAUCCCAUUGGUUGAAAUCAUUCCUUCUCCUAACCAAAACUAACAAACAAAUCCCACACCACACUGCUAUUAAACUUGCUACUACUGAUACUUGAUUCACAUGGAAUCCCAGAACACCAUUUUCUGAUCGUCUAACGUAGGAUGUCCCAAGCUGACGUUUCUUACAGCUGUGGGUCUUGUGGAUAUCCUUUGAGCUUAACAUCUUCCGAUCGAAUCACCUCCAACAUAGGUUCUGAAUAUCACAAAUCCAUAAAGAAAGGUUUCAUCUCCUUCCUUUCUGUUGAUCUUAGCCGGUUCACGCAGGUUGAUGAGGUAAAUUGUCUUCUUUUCAACUGGGGCCAUUAUCGAUCAAAAACUAAACUCCUUUGCCGUAAAUGUGGAGCUCAUAUAGGCUAUGGUUAUGGAGAUUCUGCUGCCUUCUGCAGUUUUGACUCACCCAGCUCAUCCAGCACUGCUUAUAAAAAGUUUGCCAUAAAGAUUCGAGCUUUACAACCUUCACAAGAGAGCUAACAAAUUUGGCAUGGAAGAUCAUUCAAAUGAUGUUCUUACCUCUGUCAUGCACCUGCCUGAUGAUUGUCUCAUUAUUAUUUUUCAAUGGCUUGGCUCUUGUUCUGAUCGUGAAUCAUUUGGCUUAACUUGCCAUCGCUGGUAUAAUAUUCAAAAUGCAAGCUGCCAUUCCUUAUGAUUUCCUUCCUGUUUCGCACGCCUUUACUACCUUCAUAGUGAUUCCUACUGUCUUCAUAGGCUGCUUACCCGUUUUCAACAUUUGCACCACCUGUCGCUUUCUGGUUGUACUAGGCUACCUAAUUCAAGCCUAACCCCAUUGCAAUUUUAUCGUUCAAAGUUGCACUCCCUUCAUCUGGAUUGCUGUUCUGGAAUCACAGAUAGUGGACUUUCCCUGGUUGCCACAGGUUGCUCCUCUCUAAUGAUUAUUAAUCUUUCUAAAUGCAACAUGACUGAUGUUGGGUUAGAAACUCUAGCAAAUGGUUGCUCAGCUUUGAAGCAAAUAAGUCUCUCGUACUGUCCUCUUGUUUCUGACUCUGAACUGAGAGCUCUUUCUCAAGCAUGCCAUCAUCUUCAGACAGUUAAGAUAUCUUGUUGCAGAAAAAAUAAAUGGCAUUGGCCUUACAGGGUGUUCACCAACUUUAGCUUAUUUAGAUGCAGAUUUUUGUAACCUUAAACCAAAUGGGAUAGUGGGAAUUGUUAGUGGAGGAGGGCUUGAGUAUCUAAAUGUGUCUCAUAUAAGCCAUUGCAUUCCUGAAGACGGUUUAGCAGUAAUUGGUUCAGGUUUUGCCACAAGGCUUAAAAUCCUCUACCUUUGGAAUUGCAAAACUGUUGGUGACAAGUCCAUCAUGGCAAUAGCUAAGGGUUGCCCGUUGCUUCAAGAAUGGAAUUUGGGAUCGUGUGAUGCAGUCAAGAUUUCAGGAUGGAAGUCUAUAGGGUCCAACUGCAAUAAAUUAGAGAAACUUCAUGUGGAUAGCUGCCAGAAUUUGUGUGAUGAUGGGCUGCAGGCUCUCAGAGAAGGGUGCAAAAGGCUCUCAGUUUUAUAUAUCAGCAAGCAUUGUCGUCAAUUUUCUUCCACUGCACUAGAGGAGUUCAAAUUGUAUAGAAAUAAUGUUGACAUCAGGGAACAAAAACUAACCAUUCAGAUGUGAAACCAUGAUGAGCGUCCCUUAUUUGAUAAGAAAAUUGCCGUUAGAAACUUGAAUUUCCUUUUAAGUGACAGGUUUGCAUGUUUGGCAAAAUUAAUGAGCUA
rnacentral:misc_RNA from 1 species